CUCAAUUCCUCCCUGGAUGUGACGUUUCACACAUGCCGUAUUUCUCAUAUUACACCUUAGGUUUACACCAUACUGCAAGGAAUCUUUGAAGUGAGACAGCAAGACAACUGGUGUACUCACACAACUCUUGAUACUUUGUGAGGUUUCAUCCUCCAAGAAAGAUGACGGAUACCAAACGUCUCGCGUUCUCCAUCAUUCAGUUCCUUCAUGACCAGGUGAACUCCGGCGGGUUGUCGUCGGACACUCAGGAGAGUUUAGAAGUUGCAAUCCAGUGUCUAGAGACGGCCUUCAGCGUUUCCACGGAGGACCAGAGUCUAGCUGUCACCCAGACCUUACCAGAGAUCUUUGCCUCAGCCACAGCAAAGUGUCCUAAUGCCUCCCAAGCGGAAAACAACUCCAGGGUGCACUCUCCUUCAGCCGAGCAGAUUGCAGAAGCUGAGCAACUCAAAACUGAAGGUAACGACCAAAUGAAAGUUGAGAAUUUCAGCGCUGCUGUGGAGUUCUACUCAAAGGCUAUCGCACUUAACCCUGAAAAUGCUGUUUACUAUUGCAACAGGGCUGCUGCAUAUAGUAAGUUGGGAAACUAUGCCGGAGCUGUCCAAGACUGUGAACAAGCCAUUGGGAUUGAUCCAAACUACAGCAAAGCCCACGGGAGAAUGGGGCUGGCGCUGGCAAGUUUAAACAAACACACAGAGGCUGUUAGCUAUUACAAGAAAGCACUGGAGCUGGACCCGGACAACGACACGUACAAAUCCAACUUGAAAAUAGCAGAACAGAAGAUGAAAGAGACCCCAAGUCCAACAGGGGGAAUGGGUGGAGUGGACCUAGCCGGCCUUCUCAGUAAUCCUGGAUUCAUGAACAUGGCAUCAAAUCUGAUGAAUAAUCCUCAAGUUCAACAACUGGUGUCUGGGAUGAUGUCUGGAGCCUAUGCUGGAGCACCCGGAGCACCUGGAGCGGUACCAAGCGCAGUACCAGGAGCGAUACCAGGCGCAGUACCAGGAGCUGGACCGGAGGCAGCACCAGGAGUCGGACUUGGCGCCGGACUCGGAGGCCUAGGAGGCCUAGGAGGCCUUGGAGGAGGACUAGGAGGAGGACUAGGAGGAGGCCUUGGAGGAGGAGCGACAGCAGCAGGAGGAGCGGGUCCCAACGACCUCUCGGGACUCAUCCAGGCAGGCCAGCAGUUUGCCCAGCAGAUGCAGCAACAGAACCCAGAGCUGAUUGAGAUGCUGCGGAGUCAGAUGCGCAGUCGGCCGCCCAGCUCCAGCAAUGACGACCAGCCUUGACCACCUCACAGGUGAGCCCUCACUAACCUUGACCACCUCACAGGUGAGCCCUCACUAACCUUGACCACCUCACAGGUGAGCCCUCACUAACCUUGACCACCUCACAGGUGAGCCCUCACUAGCCCCUCCCUUCACAGGUGAGCCCUCACUAGCCUUGACCACCUCACAGGUGAGCCCUCACCAGCCUUGACCACCUCACAGGUGAACCCUCACUAGCCCCUCCCACCUCACAGAUGAGCCCUCACUAGCCCCUCCCACCUCACAGGUGAGCCCUCACUAGCCUUGACCACCUCACAGAUGAGCCCUCACUAGCCCCUCCCACCUCACAGGUGAGCCCUCACCAGCCUUGACCACCUCACAGGUGAACCCUCACCAGCCUUGACCACCUCACAGGUGAAUGGCUUGUGCAAGGACUCCAGAAGACAGACUGUCCGUUUUUUUUAUUUGUAUAAUUCUUGCUACCCCAGGGAUAAACCCUGGUUUAUGACAGGAGUAUAAAAGAGCACGCCUGGCCCCAGUCUUUGACUUCUCCAGUCCUGCCCAUUGAAUCACGUAGGAAUGACAGAUCUAGUUUCAGGUGUCUGGACUGCAGCUGGAUCCGAGCACCUCACUCAGACACCCUCACUGUAGCACCUGCUGUGUGUAUAUGAAUAUAACAUGGGGCUACUAACAUUUGCCAUUGAACCUUGUCAUAUCGGAAGGAAUGAUCUGCAAGUGAGUGAUUUGUAGACUGCUAAGGAGCCCCAUCUUAGGCUGCCGGGGAGGCUGGGGUACAGACACUGUUCUGUACUAAAGGGGGGUGACAUGGCGUAGGACCGGGGAGCCAAUGUAACGUGGAAUGCCACAUAAGAUUAAAGUAUUGUCAUCUCAUUUGAAGGUUAUUUUGUUCUUCUCUGAAGCAGUGUGUUAAUAUUGCACAGUUGGAGUCCAAUUGUGACAGUUUUAUGAAAGUAUAUCAACAUGUGACAACUGCCCCUCUUUUUCUUUGUCCCACAAUACUGUCAUUUUGAAUAAAAGAAAUUGGAAAUUUUA